ACAAAUGGACAAAUGGAAGAAGAACGGUGUGGAGGACUGAACCUGGACAUCCAGAAAACAUUUCUCUGAGGCAGAGCUGCUCUGGAUCAACCAAUCAUCUCACUGGUUGAACUGAACUUUGGUCAGAGAGGCUCGAAAAAGCUGCUCUCUGGCCCCGCCCACUGACAUUCAACUCAACCAAUGAGAUGAUUUCUGUCUCCAGAGCAGAAAGGUUUGAGGAACUAAAAGCACAGUCAGCUUGAUGUUGAGGAGAAGGGCUGUGCAGCAGAGAGGCGCUUUAGUUUUUCAUUCUCCUGCAGUGGAAGAACAUUGCUGCUCUGCUGUCUCUUUGACUUUAACAACUCCAAAGACAUGUUGCUUCACCUCUUUUUACUUUGCUCUCACUUUAUAGCCCUGAGUUCCAUGAACAGCAUAAAGCCAGAAAGGACUGAAGAACAUGUUGCAGAGGGAAGAAACAUCAACCUGGCCUGUAAAUAUGAGGGUGGCAUCGACAAUAUCCAGUGGUACCGACAAUACCAGAGAUCCAGACCAGAGUUCCUGCUCUACAUCACAGAGGGAGGAUCGAUCCAUCCAACUGGUUCUGGUUUCUCAGCUCACAUCAACAAAACAGAGAAACGUGUAGAUGUGGAGAUCAUCUCAGCUAAAGUGACUGACUCUGCUGUGCACUACUGUGCUCUGCAGCCCACAGUGACAGGAAACAGCAAAACUCGGCACAAAAACCUCUGCAGCAAACACAACACAAUACUCCACAACGUCCACUAGAGGGAGUCACACACAGUUCAACUUCAAUGGGAUGUGAUGGUCGUGUCGAUUCUUGCCAGUGGAGAUAAAAACAACACAAAAUGAAGCACUAAAGUUGAAACACACAGGGCCAGACUGACUAAGAAAAUGUCCUUGCACAAAUGUGCUGCUGUUUUCAUUGAAUUUGCAGUCGGAAUCUGUGUUUAUUCAGCACCUCAGUUACUCAGGCUGCAAUUUCCAAACACCUUUGAAACUCUGUUGAUAUAAGUACUCUGGAUGGCAUUGCUGACUGGCCUCCAGCACCACUGUCAGGAAUUUGGGAGUCAUCUUUGAUGAGGAUAUGUCCCUUAACUCCCACAUCAAACAAAUUUCAAGGACUGCCUUUUUUCACCUUGCAUCCCAGAAUGCAGGCUUUACUGGUGGUUCCAAAAGUCUCUAAAGCCAUAAAUAAAUAUAUCACUUAUGUAUAUGCUUUGCCAUAUGUACUUCAUAGAGUUAUAGCCACACCUGUCAGAGAGCUAACAGAGCUGUUUCCAGUCAGCCUCUCUACACAUCCAAAUGACAGGAGAAUUAUUCGCGUUGGAUCUUUUGACAUUCUGCGUAAGAAAACUGGCUCUGAGGUUCUGAAUAAAGACUUGUGCCCACUGCUGGAGAAACUGAUCGACUGUCAGUCAGAACAUGUAUUCAUACCAGGCCCCAUUCCAACCUCGGGGAAAGGAAUGGACUCUUUCAGCAGACUCCCUGCUCUGAAUAUGUGGCUGAAAGCGGCAUGCCCCACCCUGGGCUAAAGUUUACAGACAAUCUCAACAUCUUUUGGAACUUUAAAGACCACUUAAAGCCUGAUGGGAUAUAUCCAAACAUCACAGCUUAAGUCAUCUCUUGUUAAUGUGAGAUCCUUGGCUGACAAAUCAUUUUUGUCUAAUGACCUGAUCACUGUAAAGAAUGAGCAUUUAAUGUUUUUAGCAGAGACCUGACUAAAGCGCACUGAUGGAAAAUUGUCCUCCAAUCAGUUUAUCAGUCAGUCAAGUGGGAUUUAUUCUCCAUCUUAUUAUACAUUCAGUUUCUAUCCCUGUUUUCAUGUUCAUUCUGUGUUUCUACGUGAAGCACUUGGUGCAUGUCAUUUCUUUGUUGGUAAGCUCUUUGAGGCUGCAUUGGGUGAAAGGUGCUGUGCAA